CCUUCUUUUUCCUGCUUUCCUCGGAAUUACUGGGCGUAAAGCGUGCGUAGGCGGUUUGUUAAGACAGGUGUGAAAUCCCCGGGCUCAACCUGGGAACUGCAUUUGUGACUGCAUAGCUAGAGUGCGGCAGAGGGGGAUGGAAUUCCGCGUGUAGCAGUGAAAUGCGUAGAUAUGCGGAGGAACACCGAUGGCGAAGGCAAUCCCCUGGGCCUGCACUGA
rnacentral:rRNA from 1 species